AGUUAAACGGCCGCGGUACCCUAACCGUGCGAAGGUAGCGCAAUCACUUGUUCUUUAAAUGAGGACUAGUAUGAACGGCAUCACGAGGGUUAUACUGUCUCCCCCUUUUAAUCAGUGAAACUGAUCUUCCCGUGAAGAAGCGGGAAUACUACUAUAAGACGAGAAGACCCCAUGGAGCUUAAAACUCAGUAUCAACUGCCCUUCUACACACCACAGUAACCAGGCAGACAUGACUACUAGUUUUCGGUUGGGGUGACCGCGGAGCAAAACAAAACCUCCGCGAUGAAUGGAAUUAAUCUCCUAAUCAAAGAGCUACAACUCUAAGAAUCAACAAAUUGACAUUUAUUGAUCCAAUUCUUUUGAUCAACGAACCAAGUUACCCUGGGGAUAACAGCGCAAUCCAUUUCAAGAGCCCCUAUCGACAAAUGGGUUUACGACCUCGAUGUUGGAUCAGGGUAUCCCAGUGGUGCAGCCGCUACUAAAGGUUCGUUUGUUCAACGAUUAAAACCCU
rnacentral:rRNA from 1 species